GACAGAGGGUGCAAACGUUGCUCGGAAUUACUGGGCGUAAAGCGCGUGUAGGCGGUUCCGCAAGUCAGGUGUGAAAGCCCAGGGCUCAACCCUGGAAGUGCACUUGAUACUACGGAGCUUGAGUACUGAAGAGGAGAGCGGAAUUCCCGGUGUAGAGGUGAAAUGCGCAGAUAUCAGGAGGAACACCGGUGGCGAAGGCGGGUCUCUGGGCCGAUACUGACGCUGAGGAGCGAAAGCGUGGGGAGCGAACAGG
rnacentral:rRNA from 1 species